rnacentral:rRNA from 1 species
AGGGAGCCUGAGAAACGGCUACUACAUCCAAGGAAG